rnacentral:rRNA from 1 species
AACGAACGCUGGCGGCAUGCCUAACACAUGCAAGUCGAACGAGGCCUUCGGGUCUAGUUGCGCACGGGUGCGUAACGCGUGGGAACCUGCACUUAGGUUCGGAAUAACUCUCCGAAAGGGGUGCUAAUACCGGAUAAUGUCUUCGGCCCAAAGAUUUAUCGCCUUUGGAUGGGCCCGCGUUGGAUUAGCUAGUUGGUAGGGUAAAAGCCUACCAAGGCGACGAUCCAUAGCUGGUCUGAGAGGAUGAUCAGCCACACUGGGACUGAGACACGGCGCAGACUCCUACGGGAGGCAGCAGUGGGGAAUAUUGGACGAUGGGCGAAAGCCUGAUCCAGCAAUGCCGCGUGAGUGAUGAAGGCCUUAGGGUUGUAAAGCUCUUUUACCCGGGAUGAUAAUGACAGUACCGGGAGAAUAAGCUCCGGCUAACUCCGUG